CUCCUCUUGAAAAAUAAGAGGUACCGUCUGCUCAAUGCAAUUUGUAAAUAGCCGCAGUAUUCUGACUGUGCUAAGGUAGCAUAAUCAUUAGUCUUUUAAUUGAAGGCUGGUAUGAAUGACGAGACGAGAAAGUAGCUGUCUCUUCAAUAAAUCUUGAACUUUAUUUUUAAGUGAAAAAGCUUAAAUAUUUUUGAAGGACGAUCAGACCCUUUGGAGCUUUAUUUAUUUAGAAAUUUAAAUCUAUUUAAGAUGAUUAGAUGAAAAAUAAAUUUUGUUGGGGCGACAGGGAGUUAAAAUAUCACUCUUUUUUUUAAACAAUUAUAAUUGGAAAAUUGAUCCUUAAAGAGAGAUUAAAAGACUAAGUUACCCUAGGGAUAACAGCGUAAUCCUUUUGGAGAGUUCAAAUCGAUAAAAGGGUUUGCGACCUCGAUGUUGGAUUAAGAGAUUAGCAAGGUGCAGAAGUUUUGCAAGAGAGUCUGUUCGACUCU
rnacentral:rRNA from 1 species